CGCUAGGGAACAAAGAAAGGGGGAGGAGACUCUCUCCAUCCAAGGUACUCACCUUCUUGUCUCUGAAGGUUGCAGCGCCGGAGUCAGUUAUCGUCAGUUUUGGGAAUUUCUUGGAGAAGAGCUAGCUCUUUUGAUUGAGGAUCCUUUGUGAUCUGUGGAGCUUGGUUUGAGCCUGAAUUCUGUGUAUUUCAGGAACUCAAGACAGGGAAAAUACUUGGGAUUGGAAUUGGGCAUGUGUCUUUUCGGGUCCUAGAAAUUAUGUACCCCUCAUAUUUUGCAACUUGUUGUAAGGACAAGUUGGUAUGUGAUGUGUGUGAACUAGCGAAACACACACGAGCCACUUAUCCUAGUAGUAAUGAAAGAAGUAGAGAUCCUUUUGAGGUUGUCCACUCAGAUGUUUGGGGUCCCUCUACCGUAACCUCUCUGUUAGGAGAGCGCUGGUUUGUAACUUUUAUUGAUGGUUUUAGCCGUUGUACAUGGCUGUAUGUGCUUAAACGAAAGUGUGAUGUGCUGUCUGCGUUUAAGGAUUUCUAUGCUUUGGUUGGUAAUCAGUAUAAUGCAAAAAUCAAAGUACUUCGUUCUGAUAAUGGAACAGAGUAUGUUAACAAAGACUUUGACUAUUUUCUAUCAUCCAAUGGCAUUAUACAUCAAACUACUUGUGUGGAUACUGCAGCACAAAAUGGAGUAGCUGAGAGAAAAUAUAGGCAUCUACUAGAAGUUGCUUGAUCUAUUAUGUUCGAAAUGAAUGUUCCAAAAUUUCUUUGGGGAGAAGCCAUUAAAACAGCAGCUUAUCUGAUAAAUCGCAUGCCAACUAGAAUUUUGAAUUUUAGAACUCCAAUUGAAUGUCUAAGUGGUACUAAUUCAUUUAUUGUGCCUCCAAAAGUAUUUGGUUGUACAUGCUUUAUUCAUGAUUACAGGAACUCUAUCGGAAAACUUGAUCCUUGGGCUAUCAAGUGUAUUUUUGUUGGAUAUUCUCCUACUCAAAAGGUCUAUCGUUGUUGGAGUCCUACUGAAAAGCGCUUCUUCGUGAGUAUGGAUGUUACCUUUCGAGAAAAAGAGCCAUAUUACAUCUCAUCCAACAAAAUUACUCCGGAAAUUGAUAAUGAGGGGGAGAAAGUUAAUGAAGGACCACUUCGUGCUGGUCAAGUCUUGAUUCCUUUCCUAGACACUACUGAGACCCAACCUGAAGUGGAAGAAGAGAAAAAUGCAAGUACAAAUGAUGAAAACAAUGACUCAACUGUUCCGGAGGAAUGUGCGUAAUCACUGCCACAACAAGAGGUUGAAGUGACAGGAGGAGAUAUCGAGCAUACUUCUAGUACUUCAACCCAUACUGAUCCUAUAUCGCGAGAUGGUUCUGUUGGUGAUGCAACAGGAGAAGGAGCAGAAAAUCUGGUGACAGAACUGAACUCUUCAUCAGUUGAUUAUCCUAUUGCUUUACGAAAACCAAUAAGACUGACACAUUUUCCAGCACAUCUUAAAGAUUGUAUUGGCUAUAAGCAUGAUCUUGCAAAAUUUGUAUCUUAUGAAAACUGCAGUUCAUCAUUCAAGGGGUUCCUCACUUCUCUCGACUCUACAUCCCUACCGAAAGACUGGAGAGAUGCUAUACAAGAUCCCAAGUGGAAGGCUGCAAUGAUGGAGGAAAUGAAAGCCUUGGAAAAGAAUGGUACAUGGAAGCUAGUUGAACUCCCUCGUGGAAAGCAACCUGUUGGCUGUAAGUGGAUAUUUACAGUCAAGCAAAAUCCUGAUGGUAAAGUGGAACGAUAUAAUGCUCGUUUAGUGGCGAAAGGUUAUACACAAACAUAUGGAAUUGAUUAUGAAGAAAAUUUUGCACCUGUGGCCAAGAUGAAUUCAAUAAGAACUUUGAUUUCCUGUGCAUCUAAUCUUGGUUGGGAGCUUCAUCAACUUGACGUAAAGAAUGCAUUUCUUCAUGGGGAUCUACAAGAAGAAUUUAUAUGCAUAUACCACCUAGUUUUGACACUAGCCAAACCGAAGGCAAAGUCUUAAGACUGUAUCGAUCUUUAUAAAGUCUUAAACAGUCACCCGGGCCUGGUUUGAUAGAUUCAGACGAGCUAUAAUUCAAAUGGGCUACAAACAGAGGGAUAACGAAGAGGAAAUUGAACAUCUCAAGGGUAAACUUGCUCAAGGAUUUGAAGUCAAGGAUCUUGGGAAAUUGCGGUAUUUCCUUGGAAUUGAAGUCUCUAGAAGCAAAAAAAGGUAUUUAUAUAUCUCAACGGAAAUAUGUCUUAGACCUAUUAAAAGAAACUGGAUUAGUUGGAUGUCGUCCAGCUCCUACACCAAUUGAGCGAAAUCAUCGUCUCAUGAGUGAAGCUGGAUCACCUGUAGAUCGAGAGCGUUAUCAAAGACUUGUUGGGAAGUUAAUUUAUCUCUCCCAUACUCGACCUGAUAUUGCAUUUGCUGUUAGUGUGGUUAGUCAAUUCAUGCAUGAUCCUAGAACACGUCAUAUGGAUGCUAUAAUCAGAAUUAUUAGAUAUCUCAAAGGGUGCCCUAGUCGAGGUCUGCUAUAUU